CUUGUACACACCGCCCGUCACACCAUGGGAGUGGGUUUCACCAGAAGUAGGUAGCCUAACCGCAAGGAGGGCGCUUACCACGGUGGGAUUCAUGACUGGGGUG
rnacentral:rRNA from 1 species